CUUCAGGGAGCCGAGCCAGAGCGGACGGUCCGCCGGGCGCUCCCGGCCGUACGUGGCGAGCAGCGCCUGGGCCUC
rnacentral:antisense_RNA from 1 species